GACGAACGCUGGCGGCGUGCCUAAUACAUGCAAGUCGAGCGCAGGAAACUGACGGAACUCUUCGGAGGGAAGGCAGUGGAAUGAGCGGCGGACGGGUGAGUAACACGUAAGGAACCUGCCUCAAGGAUUGGGAUAACUCCGAGAAAUCGGAGCUAAUACCGGAUAGUUCAACGGACCGCAUGGUCCGCUGAUGAAAGGCGCUUCGGCGUCACCUUGAGAUGGUCUUGCGGUGCAUUAGCUAGUUGGUGGGGUAACGGCCCACCAAGGCGACGAUGCAUAGCCGACCUGAGAGGGUGAUCGGCCACACUGGGACUGAGACACGGCCCAGACUCCUACGGGAGGCAGCAGUAGGGAAUCUUCCACAAUGGACGAAAGUCUGAUGGAGCAACGCCGCGUGAGUGAUGAAGGUUUUCGGAUCGUAAAACUCUGUUGUAAGGGAAGAACACGUACGAGAGGGAAUGCUCGUACCUUGACGGUACCUUACGGGAAAGCCACGGCUAACUACGUGCCAGCCGCCGCGGUAA
rnacentral:rRNA from 1 species